GCGACUCCAUGUCAGGCGGGACUACCCGCUGAGUUUAAGCAUAUCAAUAAGCCGAGGAAAAGAAACUUACAAGCAUUCCCCUAGUAACGGCGAGU
rnacentral:rRNA from 1 species